rnacentral:rRNA from 1 species
UAAUACGGAGGGGGCAAGCGUUACUCGGAAUUAUUGGGCGUAAAGGGCGCGUAGGCGGUCGUGUGCGUCGGAGGUGAAAUCCCCGGGCUUAACCCGGGAGCUGCCUCCGAUACGGCAUGGCUUGAGUCCGGGAGAGGGGAGCAGAAUUCCCAGUGUAGCGGUGAAAUGCGUAGAUAUUGGGAGGAAUACCGGUGGCGAAGGCGGCUCCCUGGACCGGUACUGACGCUGAGGCGCGAAAGCGUGGGUAGCAAACAGGAUUAGAUACCCUGGUAGUCCACGCCGUAAACGAUGGGUGCUUGGUGUCGGGGGUAUCGACCCCUCCGGUGCCGAAGCUAACGCAUUAAGCACCCCGCCUGGGGAGUACGGUCGCAAGGCUG